rnacentral:rRNA from 1 species
CCUAGCGGCGGACGGGUGAGUAAUGCGUAGGAAGCUGCCCGAUAGAGGGGGAUACCAGUUGGAAACGACUGUUAAUACCGCAUAAUGUCUACGGACCAAAGUAUGGGACCUUCGGGCCAUAUGCUAUCGGAUGCGCCUACGUGGGAUUAGCUAGUUGGUGUGGUAAUGGCGCACCAAGGCGACGAUCCCUAGCUGGUUUGAGAGGAUGAUCAGCCACACUGGGACUGAGACGCGGCCCAGACUCCUACGGGAGGCAGCAGUGGGGAAUAUUGGACAAUGGGCGCAAGCCUGAUCCAGCCAUGCCGCGUGUGUGAAGAAGGCCUUCGGGUUGUAAAGCACUUUCAGCGAGGAGGAAGGGUGUUGUGUUAAUAGCACAGCAUUUGACGUUACUCGCAGAAGAAGCACCGGCUAACUCCGCGCCAGCAGCCGCGGUAAUACGGAGGGUGCAAGCGUUAAUCGGAAUUACUGGGCGUAAAGCGCACGCAGGCGGCUUUUUAAGUCGGAUGUGAAAGCCCCGGGCUCAACCUGGGAAUUGCAUUCGAUACUGGAAAGCUAGAGUAUGUGAGAGGGGGGUAGAAUUCCAAGUGUAGCGGUGAAAUGCGUAGAGAUUUGGA